AAGGUGCCAUAUCCAGGGACC
rnacentral:miRNA from 1 species